rnacentral:rRNA from 1 species
UACGAAGGGUGCAAACGUUGCUCGGAAUUAUUGGGCGUAAAGGGCGCGUAGGCGGCCUUCUAAGUCAGACGUGAAAUCCCCCGGCUUAACCUGGGAACUGCGUCUGAUACUGGGAGGCUUGAGUAUGGGAGAGGGAUGUAGAAUUCCAGGUGUAGCGGUGAAAUGCGUAGAUAUCUGGAGGAAUACCGGUGGCGAAGGCGGCAUCCUGGACCAUUACUGACGCUGAGGCGCGAAAGCUAGGGGAGCAAACGGG